GACGAACGCUGGCGGCGUGCUUAACACAUGCAAGUCGAACGGAAAGGCCCUGCUUUUGUGGGGUGCUCGAGUGGCGAACGGGUGAGUAACACGUGAGUAACCUGCCCUUGACUUUGGGAUAACUUCAGGAAACUGGGGCUAAUACCGGAUAGGAGCUCCUGCUGCAUGGUGGGGGUUGGAAAGUUUCGGCGGUUGGGGAUGGACUCGCGGCUUAUCAGCUUGUUGGUGGGGUAGUGGCUUACCAAGGCUUUGACGGGUAGCCGGCCUGAGAGGGUGACCGGCCACAUUGGGACUGAGAUACGGCCCAGACUCCUACGGGAGGCAGCAGUGGGGAAUAUUGCACAAUGGGCGGAAGCCUGAUGCAGCAACGCCGCGUGCGGGAUGACGGCCUUCGGGUUGUAAACCGCUUUCGCCUGUGACGAAGCGUGAGUGACGGUAAUGGGUAAAGAAGCACCGGCUAACUACGUGCCAGCAGCCGCGGUGAUACGUAGGGUGCGAGCGUUGUCCGGAUUUAUUGGGCGUAAAGGGCUCGUAGGUGGUUGAUCGCGUCGGAAGUGUAAUCUUGGGGCUUAACCCUGAGCGUGCUUUCGAUACGGGUUGACUUGAGGAAGGUAGGGGAGAAUGGAAUUCCUGGUGGAGCGGUGGAAUGCGCAGAUAUCAGGAGGAACACCAGUGGCGAAGGCGGUUCUCUGGGCCUUUCCUGACGCUGAGGAGCGAAAGCGUGGGGAGCGAACAGGCUUAGAUACCCUGGUAGUCCACGCUGUAAACGGUGGGUACUAGGUGUGGGGUCCAUUCCACGGGUUCCGUGCCGUAGCUAACGCUUUAAGUACCCCGCCUGGGGAGUACGGCCGCAAGGCUAAAACUCAAAGGAAUUGACGGGGCCCCGCACAAGCGGCGGAGCAUGCGGAUUAAUUCGAUGCAACGCGUAGAACCUUACCUGGGUUUGACAUGGAUCGGGAGCGCUCAGAGAUGGGUGUGCCUCUUUUGGGGUCGGUUCACAGGUGGUGCAUGGCUGUCGUCAGCUCGUGUCGUGAGAUGUUGGGUUAAGUCCCGCAACGAGCGCAACCCUUGUUCACUGUUGCCAGCACGUUAUGGUGGGGACUCAGUGGAGACCGCCGGGGUCAACUCGGAGGAAGGUGGGGAUGACGUCAAGUCAUCAUGCCCCUUAUGUCCAGGGCUUCACGCAUGCUACAAUGGCUGGUACAGAGAGUGGCGAGCCUGUGAGGGUGAGCGAAUCUCGGAAAGCCGGUCUCAGUUCGGAUUGGGGUCUGCAACUCGACCUCGUGAAGUCGGAGUCGCUAGUAAUCGCAGAUCAGCAACGCUGCGGUGAAUACGUUCCCGGGGCU
rnacentral:rRNA from 1 species